AUAUGAAGUUGAAACACCAGUUCCAAUACGGUCUCCGGAGUUAAGUAACGUUGGGCCUGGUCAGCAUCUAGAUGGGUGACCGCUUAGGAAUACCAGAUGACGUAAG